GUGGAUCUCGGUUGGCCUCCUCCAGAUCCUCCACCCUCCAUCAUCCCAUCGAUGGUCGCCGCCACUGCACCGAGAAAAGGGCUGCCAGCCGCCGCAACCUCACCAUCCACGACCAUCUCCCCUGUGCAUCACGCAGUGACCAUCUUCCGUCGCGACCUUAGACUCGUCUCGUAGGCAGGAACGCCACUGAAGGCGGACCUACUGCACACGACGCUGGUGCCGUUGAUAUGGAUGGUGUCCAUCUUGCUGGAAGGAGUUACCAGGUCCCUCGUGGGCGCGGAGAAGCUGGAUCGGCCGGGCACAUGACUACUAGCGUGCUCGAGGUCCCGCUUGAGCCUCCACCACGGGACGCAUUCAGCAAGCUGUGAGCCGCAUCGAACCAGUGGGAUCCUCGGCAUUCAGCAAGCUGCGAGCCGCUUGUCCCACCAGGUGUUCUAGACACGCAUGUAAUACAGGUUCCAUGGAGUCUUCAUCGGUGGAGAUAGAGUCCCAUUCAAUAGCAUGGUUCGAGGCAAGAUGCUUGCGAAACUCCAGUUGACGUACAUAUCUGUGGCCACAAAGGCAGGGGGAUUUACCCUAGUUGAUGUCCAGCGAGCGCCGCCGACGCUUGAGGAGCCUGAGAGUAUCUUACUUUUCUACAGGAGAUGAUUGUAAUUCUAAGUUUUUAGGGAUCUUUUUGCUCUGUGUAUUUCUCGGUUUGUGUAUGUAACUUCCAUUUUAUUUAAUGAAAUGAACAUAUAUUUUUUCUGACAAAA